AAAUUUGGAGCAGCAGAGUGAAAGACUCUCCUCAUUGAUCACUGGAGUGGACUGGCUGAUCUGGCUGGGUAGGUGAAUUUUUCAUCUCUCCUCACAACGUCUUUCUGCAAACCUCACAAAGCUGCACACUGCGACAAGGAGUACCAUGCUCUGUGUUAGGCACAGUAGUGUCUCCUUCUAGAUCCUCCAAACAAGAUUUGCAGAACAGAGUGGCCAACACUCCAAGCCUUGAGACAUGUCCAAUUGAAGGCCUGUAUACUGCAAUUUGCCUUUCAUU
rnacentral:snRNA from 1 species